rnacentral:rRNA from 1 species
GACGAACGCUGGCGGCGUGCUUAACACAUGCAAGUCGAACGGAAAGGCCUCUUUCGGGGGUACUCGAGUGGCGAACGGGUGAGUAACACGUGAGUAACCUGCCCUUGACUUUGGGAUAACUUCAGGAAACUGGGGCUAAUACCGGAUAGGAGCUCCUGCUGCAUGGUGGGGGUUGGAAAGUUUCGGCGGUUGGGGAUGGACUCGCGGCUUAUCAGCUUGUUGGUGGGGUAGUGGCUUACCAAGGCUUUGACGGGUAGCCGGCCUGAGAGGGUGACCGGCCACAUUGGGACUGAGAUACGGCCCAGACUCCUACGGGAGGCAGCAGUGGGGAAUAUUGCACAAUGGGUGGAGGCCUGAUGCAGCAACGCCGUGUGCGGGAUGACGGCCUUCGGGUUGUAAACCGCUUUCGCUCAUGACGAAGCUUUGUGUGACGGUAGUGGGUAAAGAAGCACCGGCUAACUACGUG